rnacentral:lncRNA from 1 species
UUAUUUUGAAUUUAUAUUGUGGGUUUGAAUCUAAGAAAUUGUCUGAGAUAUAUAUUCUAGUGUUCCACUAUAGUUUGUGGAUGGAAGGGGUAACAUGGCAUCACGUUCUCUUCUCACUAGCUACAGAUAUUUUUACUAUAGUAAUUGCUGCAUGUACUGUAGAUGUAGCAUAAUAUUAUAAUUUAGGGCUAGUUUAGUAAUAUUUUUAAAAAGUAUUUUUAAAAAAUAUUUUUGAAAAGUUUAGUUUAAGAUUUGAGUAUUUAGCAUCGUUGUCAAAAAAUACUUUUGAGAAAUUAAAUGUUUUUUU